UCCAGACUCCUACGGGAGGCAGCAGUGGGGGAUAUUGCACAAUGGGGGGAACCCUGAUGCAGCGACGCCGCGUGGGUGAAGGAGUAUUUCGGUAUGUAAAGCCCUAUCGGCAGGGAAGAAGAAAGACGGUACCUGACUAAGAAGCCCCGGCUAACUACGUGCCAGCAGCCGCGGUAAUACGUAGGGGGCGAGCGUUAUCCGGAUUCACUGGGUGUAAAGGGAGCGUAGACGGCCAAGCAAGCCAGGGGUGAAAGCCCGGGGCCCAACCCCGGGACUGCCCUUGGAACUGCAUGGCUGGAGUGCGGGAGGGGCAGGCGGAAUUCCUAGUGUAGCGGUGAAAUGCGUAGAUAUUAGGAGGAACACCAGUGGCGAAGGCGGCCUGCUGGACGAUGACUGACGUUGAGGCUCGAAAGCGUGGGGAGCAAACAGGAUUAGAUACCCCCGUA
rnacentral:rRNA from 1 species